GAUGAAGAACGCAGCGAAAUGCGAUAAGUAAUGUGAAUUGCAGAAUUCAGUGAAUCAUCGAAUCUUUGAACGCACAUUGCGCCCGCCAGUAUUCUGGCGGGCAUGCCUGUCUGAGCGUCAUUUCAACCCUCAUGCCCCUAGGGCGUGGUGUUGGGGAUCGGCCAAAGCCCGCGAGGGACGGCCGGCCCCUAAAUCUAGUGGCGGACCCGUCGUGGCCUCCUCUGCGAAGUAGUGAUAUUCCGCAUCGGAGAGCGACGAGCCCCUGUCGUUAAACCCCCAACUUUCCAAGGUUGACCUCAGAUCAGGUAGGAAUACCCGCUGAACUUAAGCAUAUCAAUAAGCGGAGGA
rnacentral:misc_RNA from 1 species